CCGACCCUCAKACAGGCGAGGCCCCGGGCAGGACCCGAGGCCGCAAUGUGCGUUCGAAAAAUCAGUGCUCAAUGUGUCCUGCAAUUCACACCAAAUCUCGCAGCUG
rnacentral:rRNA from 1 species